AACAACAACAAAUGGGGAUCGGUUCUGAGGAGGCGAUCCGGCAGCUCCGAGCUUUGAUGGAUCAGGUUGAGGAGCGAUUGAAGUGCACUUUUCAGAAUGUUCAUCAAGGCUAUCUAACAGAAACUUUGGAGCGAUUUCUGAAGGCGCGGGAAUGGAACGUUAGCAAAGCCCACAAAAUGUUGGUAGAUUGUUUAAACUGGCGAGUAGACAAUGAAAUCGACAUGAUGCUAACAAAACCUAUAGUUCCUGUCGAUGUUUACAGAGCGGUUCGUGAU
rnacentral:misc_RNA from 1 species